GGACCGGUACGUAUGCGAGGCCUUUCCCUGGGGACCCGCGCCACCAAAAUGUUCGGCCCGGCUCCAAAAAAAGGCCCCCGGCUGCAGAGCUGCUGCUUGAAAAGGUGCAUCUGCUUCCUACCUGGUUCCUGGCCCGGUUUGAUUUGAGCGUGUGGCAGGGCCUUCCCCAAAGCCACCCUUAGCCCCCGCUACAGGCUGUACGUGUGAUGCGGGUUACUGGUGAACGGUGCAAUGAAUGUGGACCCGCCACACCGCAAAGUAAGACGGGACUUAAGUGUGAAGUAAUUAUCAAACAAUUUUGGAAAUCCUAAUGGUGAUGGAUCAGUGAGCGAGACCUGAGAAAUGCUCUGGUUCUGGAAAAAUGAAAGUAAGCAAGAGUCCUAAGCUGAGGAGAUUUAUGUGCAAUUAACUUCAUUCACUGGAACAACUUUCCUUUGUUCUUCUGAUUAGACCAUUUCUCCAAAUCACUUCUGAGCCUGAACUGACCUCCAACAAAGAUUAAACCUAAGCAGCAGAGACCUGCACUGGAAGCUUCUAUUGGUAUAACUUUUGAUAGCUGCCAACAGUGCACAAUUGGCUGCGUUUACUAGUGAUAUCCAGGAGAGUGUCAUUGCGAAGCGGCAGUGAAGCCUGGACAAGUAUCCCAUUGUCUCUUCACUGCUACCAGGCUGCCCAAACAAGACUUGUUUGGGGAGCCUGUUAUCCAGGAAUCUCAGAAUGUGGCCAAGGCAAGUUUCCCUUCUCACUUGUACCAGUGAGUGUGCGAUUUGUCAGGGGUUUUUCUUCUGGUUAUGACAUAUCACCCCUCCCUUGAACCUGUAUGGAAAAUCCUCAGACAAUUGCAACCCAUACUAGACAGAGACCCUAUUCUUAAAAAGAUCUUCCCAGAGCCACCCAUCCUAGCCUUCA